UACGUAGGUGGCAAGCGUUGUCCGGAUUUACUGGGCGUAAAGAGCGCGCAGGCGGUCGUUCAAGUCGCGUGUGAAAGCCCCCGGCUCAACUGGGGAGGGUCACGCGAUACUGAUCGACUCGAAGGCAGGAGAGGGUAGUGGAAUUCCCGGUGUAGUGGUGAAAUGCGCAGAUAUCAGGAGGAACACCAAUUGCGAAGGCAGCUCGCUGGGACGUUACUGACGCUGAGACGCGAAAGCGUGGGGAGCAAACAGG
rnacentral:rRNA from 1 species